UACAGAGGUCCCGAGCGUUGUUCGGAUUUAUUGGGCGUAAAGAGCUCGUAGGCGGUUCGGUAAGUCAGGUGUGAAACCUCCAGGCUCAACCUGGAGACGCCACCUGAUACUGCUGUGACUCGAGUCCGGUAGGGGAGCGUGGAAUUCCUGGUGUAGCGGUGAAAUGCGCAGAUAUCAGGAGGAACACCAAUUGCGAAGGCAGCUCGCUGGGACGUUACUGACGCUGAGACGCGAAAGCGUGGGGAGCAAACAGG
rnacentral:rRNA from 1 species